rnacentral:rRNA from 1 species
GAUGAACGCUGGCGGCGUGCCUAAUACAUGCAAGUCGAGCGAAUGGAUUAAGAGCUUGCUCUUAUGAAGUUAGCGGCGGACGGGUGAGUAACACGUGGGUAACCUGCCCAUAAGACUGGGAUAACUCCGGGAAACCGGGGCUAAUACCGGAUAACAUUUUGAACCGCAUGGUUCGAAAUUGAAAGGCGGCUUCGGCUGUCACUUAUGGAUGGACCCGCUUUGCAUUAGCUAGUUGGUGAGGUAACGGCUCACCAAGGCAACGAUGCGUAGCCGACCUGCGAGGGUGAUCGGCCACACUGGGACUGAGACACGGCCCAGACUCCUACGGGAGGCAGCAGUAGGGAAUCUUCCGCAAUGGACGAAAGUCUGGCGGAGCAACGCCGCGUGAGUGAUGAAGGCUUUCGGGUCGUAAAACUCUGUUGUUAGGGAAGAACAAGUGCUAGUUGAAUAAGCUGACACCUUGACGGUACCUAACCAGAAAGCCACGGCUAACUACGUGCCAGCCGCCGCCGUAA